rnacentral:rRNA from 1 species
UACGGAGGGUGCAAGCGUUUUUCGGAAUCAUUGGGCGUAAAGCGCGUGUAGGCGGCUUGGCAAGUCGGGUGUGAAAUCCCGGGGCCCAACCCCGGAACUGCAUUCGAAACUGCCUCGCUAGAGUCCCGGAGAGGAAGGCGGAAUUCCCGGUGUAGAGGUGAAAUUCGUAGAUAUCGGGAGGAACACCAGCGGCGAAGGCGGCCUUCUGGACGGUGACUGACGCUCAGACGCGAAAGCGUGGGGAGCAAACAGG